UUAGAGGAAGUAAAAGUCGUAACAAGGUCUCCGUUGGUGAACCAGCGGAGGGAUCAUUACUGAGUUUACGCUCUACAACCCUUUGUGAACAUACCUAUAACUGUUGCUUCGGCGGGUAGGGUCUCCGCGACCCUCCCGGCCUCCCGCCCCCGGGCGGGUCGGCGCCCGCCGGAGGAUAACCAAACUCUGAUUUAACGACGUUUCUUCUGAGUGGUACAAGCAAAUAAUCAAAACUUUUAACAACGGAUCUCUUGGUUCUGGCAUCGAUGAAGAACGCAGCGAAAUGCGAUAAGUAAUGUGAAUUGCAGAAUUCAGUGAAUCAUCGAAUCUUUGAACGCACAUUGCGCCCGCCAGCAUUCUGGCGGGCAUGCCUGUUCGAGCGUCAUUUCAACCCUCAAGCUCUGCUUGGUGUUGGGGCCCUACAGCCGAUGUAGGCCCUCAAAGGUAGUGGCGGACCCUCUCGGAGCCUCCUUUGCGUAGUAACUUUACGUCUCGCACUGGGAUCCGGAGGGACUCUUGCCGUAAAACCCCCAAUUUUCCAAAGGUUGACCUCGGAUCAGGUAGGAAUACCCGCUGAACUUAAGCAUAUCAAUAA
rnacentral:rRNA from 1 species